CAGUAGCCGCGGGAAUACAGAGGGUGCGAGCGUUAAUCGGAUUUACUGGGCGUAAAGCGUGCGUAGGCGGCUUCUUAAGUCGGAUGUGAAAUCCCUGAGCUUAACUUGGGAAUUGCAUUCGAUACUGGGAAGCUAGAGUAUGGGAGAGGAUGGUAGAAUUCCAGGUGUAGCGGUGAAAUGCGUAGAGAUCUGGAGGAAUACCGAUGGCGAAGGCAGCCAUCUGGCCUAAUACUGACGCUGAGGUACGAAAGCAUGGGGAGCAAACAGGAUUAGAUACCCCCGUAGUCCCUGUCUCUUAUAC
rnacentral:rRNA from 1 species